rnacentral:rRNA from 1 species
UACGUAGGGGGCAAGCGUUGUCCGGAUUUAUUGGGCGUAAAGAGCGUGUAGGCGGCUAGGUAGGUGGGUUGUGAAAACUGGAGGCUCAACCUUCAGACGUCGACCCAAACCCCCUGGCUAGAGUCCGGAAGAGGAGAGUGGAAUUCCUGGUGUAGCGGUGAAAUGCGCAGAUAUCAGGAAGAACACCUGUGGUGUAGACAGCUUACUGGACCAUUUCUGACGCUGAGACACGAAAGCGUGGGUAGCAAACAGG